GAUGAACGCUGGCGGCGUGCCUAAUACGUGCAAGUCGAGCGAACAGAUAAGGAGCUUGCUCCUUUGACGUUAGCGGCGGACGGGUGAGUAACACGUGGAUAACCUACCUAUAAGACUGGGAUAACUUCGGGAAACCGGAGCUAAUACCGGAUAACAUAUUGAACCGCAUGGUUCAAUAGUGAAAGGCGGCUUUGCUGUCACUUAUAGAUGGAUCCGCGCCGUAUUAGCUAGUUGGUAAGGUAACGGCUUACCAAGGCAACGAUACGUAGCCGACCUGAGAGGGUGAUCGGCCACACUGGAACUGAGACACGGUCCAGACUCCUACGGGAGGCAGCAGUAGGGAAUCUUCCGCAAUGGGCGAAAGCCUGACGGAGCAACGCCGCGUGAGUGAUGAAGGUCUUCGGAUCGUAAAACUCUGUUAUCAGGGAAGAACAAAUGUGUAAGUAACUGUGCACAUCUUGACGGUACCUGAUCAGAAAGCCACGGCUAACUAUGUG
rnacentral:rRNA from 1 species